CCUAGAGUGGCGGACUGGUGAGUAACACGUGGGUGACAUACCCGUCAGGAUGGGGAUAGCUAUUAGAAAUAGUAGAUAAUACCGAAUACGAGCACAGGGGUUAGAGAUCUGUGAGGAAAGGAGCUAAGGCUCCGCUGAAGGAAUGGCCUGCGGCCCAUUAGCUAGUGGUGAGGUAAGAGCCCACCAAGGCGAUGAUGGGUAUCCGGCCUUAGAGGGUGAACGGACACAUUGGGACUGAGAUACGGCCCAGACUCCUACGGGAGGCAGCAGCUAAGAAUAUUCCGCAAUGGACGAAAGUCUGACGGAGCGACGCCGCGUGGAUGAAGAAGGCCGGAAGGUUGUAAAAAUCCUUUUGAAACUGAAGAAUAAGCGUUGUAGGGAAUGACAGCGUGGUGACAGUAGGUUUUGAAUAAGCAACGGCUAAUUACGUGCCAGCAGCGGC
rnacentral:rRNA from 1 species